rnacentral:rRNA from 1 species
ACUCCUACGGGAGGCAGCAGUGGGGAAUAUUGCACAAUGGGCGCAAGCCUGAUGCAGCCAUGCCGCGUGUAUGAAGAAGGCCUUCGGGUUGUAAAGUACUUUCAGCAGUGAGGAAGGUGGGUAUGUUAAUAGCAUACUCAUUUGACGUUAGCGACAGAAGAAGCACCGGCUAACUCCGUGCCAGCAGCCGCGGUAAUACGGAGGGUGCGAGCGUUAAUCGGAAUUACUGGGCGUAAAGCGUGCGCAGGCGGUUAUAUAAGACAGAUGUGAAAUCCCCGGGCUCAACCUGGGAACUGCAUUUGUGACUGUAUAGCUAGAGUACGGCAGAGGGGGAUGGAAUUCCGCGUGUAGCAGUGAAAUGCGUAGAUAUGCGGAGGAACACCGAUGGCGAAGGCAAUCCCCUGGGCCUGUACUGACGCUCAUGCACGAAAGCGUGGGGGAGCAAACAGGAUUAGAUACCCUGGUAGACAU